rnacentral:tRNA from 1 species
UGGGAUGUAGCUCAACAGGUGAGAGCCACGGCCUUAUAAGCCGUAAGCCCUGACAAGGUAAAUAUGGGUUCGAUUCCCAUCAUCCCGA